UGUCUCAUAGGUUGGCUUUUAGUUGGUGAAAUCUCUGCACCUGACCCAGAGUCUCAGCAGGGCACGGGGCACAUCUUCUUCACAGCUUUGCCGUGGACUGUGGACAGGGGUGGAAGGCCACUGGGCCUUGGCCUCCCAUUUUUCGACCCAAUGUUCACUUGGCCUGCAGGAUCAAACACAUAAGACUCAGCAGUCAGCAGGUUAGAGAAGAGGGUGGAAGAGAGACGGAGAAGCUGACCAUUGGGGCAAAAGCAGAACACUUUUCUUUUCUCUUGAUCUCUACUCUUUCCCUCAUUUCCCUUCACUGAAUGUAACUUUUCCCUCUAAGAGAGUAUUUGUGCAGAUAUCCUCCCUCCUGGGUCCCCUCCAUCAUCCAUGUUAUGUAAAAUGUCACUGAGGAACAUGCUCUCCAGAAGCUCCAUGGGGAGAAGAGUCACAGGGCCGCCCUCCAGGACAGAUACGAAGGAGGUGACAUUAUUGGGUACCUUUGCCUUUCAUUUUGUGUUUUUCCAGCAGGUGCCUUUCCUGAGCUUACUUCUAGCUCUCUUGGUUGGAAAAAUACCUGAUAAAGGAAUCUCUAUAAGAUCUUCACUUUUGUGUGGGGUGCUGAGGUUUUUAGUGAGCCCUGUCUUGUCAGUACUGCAAGGCUUCAAUCAAAUAGCACUUGAACUCUUUUCAAAGACUUGCAAGAUUGAAAAGAUUCCAGCCUGUUGAACGGCGAGUAAUAGGUGUCAAACACCCUCUCCAUUUCUGAAAAUCUCUCCUCUUUCCUUGCUGGACGGGCGAAAGAGAAGAGGCAACAGAAGAUGACUUUGGACAAUUUAAGAAGGGAAAUUUAUCAGGAACUCAGCACAUCAACUGGAAAGCUGAGACUUAAGGCUGCUCUGGGUGCUGGGAGUGUUUCCAGACCAGGAACAAUCAUGUCCAGGCACCAUGGGUGAGAACUAUGGAAUUCCAACAGCUUCUUCCAUCUCAGUGUCUCUCACAUAAGAUGCAAAUCCUAGAAGACAACAGCUGAUAUUCUGGGCUUCUGGCUUUUCCAAGGAAGUGUGGGGAAAGCUGGUUAAUGUGACAUUCUCAGUGGGAUUGAGGCACUGGAUUUACUGUUCUGCCAAUACAAUAUAAUGGGAAAGAAGUAAUUCUCCAAAAGAAAAUGUGUGUCCUACAGGAAGGAGAUGGGAAUACUGAGCUGCCAAAAAUAUUAAACACACACGCACGUAAAUCUCUACUGCCAUCGUUUAUA